rnacentral:lncRNA from 1 species
UGCGAGUUUUCUCUUGGCUUGUUUACAAUCUGUUCCUACAGCACUUUUUUCAGAAUGAUGGAUUCCCCAUCACCUCAGUAUUCCAAGUCAUUAAACUCAUGAUUCAUCCAAUCCGGCAUUGAGUCCCUAGAACUAAUUAGGUUCAAACCCAUUGCUUUAACUGUAUUUGUGCCAUUUUCUUCAGCCUGAAUUUCUGCUUGCUAGCACAGCUCAGUAACCCUGGAAUGUGACAAUUUCCAGGCUUCUUUGGAGCAAAAAAAAGUUUAUAAAUUUUCAAAAUCUACCAUCACAUUUAUUUCAGGAUUUCUAGAGGAUAAACAACCUCUCUGAAGCCUUCAAGACAGUAUGUCUGAGUGCACCACAACCUAAAAUCUAUCAUAAGUAAUCCAUUGCUCAGGAUUUUCAGAGCCAUCUGCUCCUGCUAAUAUCCCAUUGAAAAUGAAGAAUAUAUUCAGCUGCUUCUUCUAUACACAUAAAUUAAAAUCCAUGCAGUGGAUCCCAGAAAUAAGUAACAUCUUUAAACAGACAACACAACACACACCAGUCGGCAAGAGCUGAUUUCUUUUGUUUCCAUUUGUGGAGCAGCCAAAUUAUACACUGCAGUUUGAACAAAUCUAUUCAUAUGAUUUCAUCAAAGAUCUUCAUUUGUGGUGGUAAGUUCCACUAUACCACUUGAUAGGAAACAUUUCUGGCUUCCGGAGGGUGAAGGAGAUCACAUUUCUGUAAGUGGAGUUGGCUACAUGUACACUUGUUCUCU